rnacentral:lncRNA from 1 species
CAGUGGGAAAGAAAGAAUUUUGGAUCUAAUUUUUUAAUAGAAAAAAAGUUCUUCUAGAUUCAACACUAAAAUGAAAAUAGAUUUUUUUAUAUACCUUACUAUCUAGAUUAACUCCACCCGAGAGGAAUGCAUAACUAAAUAAAUAAAUUGGAACGAGUUCUAAACAUCGAGAGAUUGUUUUUUAAUCAGUUUAUAGAAUCUUAUACAAAUAUUUAUUAAAUUCAAAGAGAGAGAUAACAGUUGUUAAAUUGUUAAAAUUAUUUAGUUAGCGAUUGUUAUAUAAGUCAUUAAGAAGAAUGUAGAAGUUCUUCUCGGUAUAAUAGAUUUUACCUUAGCAAUGCGACUUCACUUCUUUACGACCUAUCCAGAACUAUUCUAGAAAAUGAAGUGCCACCGUCGUAAAAGACAACAGCAACAUCACAGAUUGCCUACGACGUACAGAUUUACCGCAAUGUCGCCCUAUUUAAUCGCUCCAUGAAGUGGAGAUUUGAGAGUUUUCAAAAGUUAGAAUUCCAACCAUCCCCAGAUCACGUGAUGCAGAUGGACCGGCUACGGAGAUAUCUCUCUCUCUCUCUCUUCGUUAAUGCUGUUAUCUCCGCAAUAGUAUUUUAUUUUAUUAUUAUUAUUUUUCUUUUUUUUGUUUUCCUUCUUUCUUUUUCUAAAGAGAAGAAUAUUUUAAUUAAAAUUCCUG